ACCUCCCCAUGACGCGUCUGAAUAUCCGCCAAAAAUGUACGAACCAACUCGGAUAAUCGUAACAGUCGCUCCUUUGUAGUCACACUUAGAAUGGAAAGUAUACGAACUCCAGCCAUCUCGAGUUGCGCGGUAACAUAGUGACCAAGAAGUCGCAAAAGGAACCCACAAUGACAGUUGCUUGAUGUAAUUACUCUUUCCACGCAAAAUUUGGGAAUCCA